rnacentral:tRNA from 1 species
CCGGCAGACGACUAGUCUGCAUCUUCAGAUUUGCAAUCUGAUAUGUAAAACACCUCAAGACUUC